GAUUUCAGAGCACUGCAAGCAAGGUUAGAUAUAUACUUUGCAUGUAUUGUCUGGUCUUCAUACUAAAAAGAAAGUGCCUUUUGGAUGAAGAUUGGUAUUUUUCUUUACUUUCUUCGGAGGCAUACGCGUCCAAGGAGGCUCAGAUUUUUAUGAAUGCAAAAAGAACUUUUUGAAUUGAGAAUAAAAUUAGAUUCUCUUCGGCUUUAACAAUUCAACUGAUAUAACUGUGUAUAGAUUCUUUUUUGUUUUUUGUCCCCUGGGGACAAACUGUGUAUAGAUUCUAUUGCAUCCUGAACCAAA